rnacentral:rRNA from 1 species
UACGGGGGGGGCAAGCGUUGUUCGGAAUUACUGGGCGUAAAGGGCUCGUAGGCGGCCAACUAAGUCAGACGUGAAAUCCCUCAGCUUAACUGGGGAACUGCGUCUGAUACUGGAUGGCUUGGAUCCGGAAGAGGGAUGCGGAAUUCCAGGUGUAGCGGUGAAAUGCGUAGAUAUCAGGAGGAACACCAAUGGCGAAGGCAGCUCGCUGGGACGGUACUGACGCUGAGACGCGAAAGCGUGGGGAGCAAACAGG